GGGAUCAUUACCGAGUUUACAACUCCCAAACCCCUGUGAACAUACCAAUUGUUGCCUCGGCGGAUCAGCCCGCUCCCGGUAAAACGGGACGGCCCGCCAGAGGACCCCUAAACUCUGUUUCUAUAUGUAACUUCUGAGUAAAACCAUAAAUAAAUCAAAACUUUCAACAACGGAUCUCUUGGUUCUGGCAUCGAUGAAGAACGCAGCAAAAUGCGAUAAGUAAUGUGAAUUGCAGAAUUCAGUGAAUCAUCGAAUCUUUGAACGCACAUUGCGCCCGCCAGUAUUCUGGCGGGCAUGCCUGUUCGAGCGUCAUUUCAACCCUCAAGCCCAGCUUGGUGUUGGGACUCGCGAGUCAAAUCGCGUUCCCCAAAUUGAUUGGCGGUCACGUCGAGCUUCCAUAGCGUAGUAGUAAAACCCUCGUUACUGGUAAUCGUCGCGGCCACGCCGUUAAACCCCAACUUCUGAAUGUUGACCUCGGAUCAGGUAGGAAUACCCGCU
rnacentral:rRNA from 1 species